GCCUGAGAGGGUGGACGGCCACAUUGGGACUGAGAUACGGCCCAAACUCCUACGGGAGGCAGCAGUGGGGGAUAUUGGACAAUGGGGGGAACCCUGAUCCAGCGACGCCGCGUGAGUGAAGAAGUAUCUCGGUAUGUAAAGCUCUAUCAGCAGGGAAGAAAGAAAUGACGGUACCUGAGUAAGAAGCCCCGGUUAACUACGUGCCAACAGCCGCGGUAAUACGUAGGGGGAAAGCGUUAUCCGGAAUUACUGGGUGUAAAGGGAGCGUACACGGUGAUGUAAGUCUGGAGUUGAAAGGCGGGGGCCCAACCCCCGGACUGCUCUGGAAACUAUAUG
rnacentral:rRNA from 1 species